rnacentral:rRNA from 1 species
GACGAACGCUGGCGGCGUGCCUAAUACAUGCAAGUCGAACGCUUCUUUCCUCCCGAGUGCUUGCACUCAAUUGGAAAGAGGAGUGGCGGACGGGUGAGUAACACGUGGGUAACCUACCCAUCAGAGGGGGAUGACACUUGGAAACAGGUGCUAAUACCGCAUAACAGUUUAUGCCGCAUGGCAUAAGAGUGAAAGGCGCUUUCGGGUGUCGCUGAUGGAUGGACCCGCGGUGCAUUAGCUAGUUGGUGAGGUAACGGCUCACCAAGGCCACGAUGCAUAGCCGACCUGAGAGGGUGGUCGGCCACACUGGGACUGAGACACGGCCCCGACUCCUACGGGAGGCAGCAGUAGGGAAUCUUCGGCAAUGGACGAAAGUCUGACCCAGCAACGCCGCGUGAGUGAAGAAGGUUUUCGGAUCGUAAAACUCUGUUGUUAGAGAAGAACAAGGACGUUAGUAACUGAACGUCCCCUGACGGUAUCUAACCAGAAAGCCACGGCUAACUACGUG